CCAAGUAAAGAGGAAGAGCAUAAAAAAUUUCAUCUGACUUUGUCUCCUUUGCAUAUAUCUCGCCUGGGAAGCCCCCACCGUUGGUCACUUCCGCCAGCUCUUCCUCCUCCUUCUGCAUCCGGAGCUCCGGUACUGCCCUCCAUGGCAUUACCUGCAACCAAAAGGCAGAAAUGGGAACGUCAUAAGCCCUCAGUUCAUCCCACACAUGGCGAACCAUAUCUGUGCCACCCUGCAUACCAACUACAGCUCCAGAUGUAAUCCAUUCAGGCAGCACAGGGGGCCUCCCAAUAGUCCCUGUGAAGUGCUCAAGGAGCUCAGUGGGACUUCAAGCUUACGAUGUAAGCUUUAAACUACAUGUUUCGCUUGUCACUUCAACAAUUCUCCUUAAGAGUCCAAGCAGAGCUCAACUGUUCCCACCUUCAACAAGAUCUGGAGCGAGAUGCAAAGAUCGGUUAUGAAGAGGUACCUGUAUCUGGACUCUAUCAGGUCUUGUUAGAUCGAAAAUGGAAUAGUUGUAUCCUUCAAGAUAAA